rnacentral:lncRNA from 1 species
UGGUUCGUCUUCUCGGCGUUCUCGACUUCUCACAGGCGAGGUUAGGCGAGGUGGCGGCCGCGUCGUCGUGGCGACAAGCGUCACAAGCCGACAAAUGCAUUGGGCCGCCCCUGCCUCUCUCUCUCUCUCUCUCUCUCACGCCGUUGGCUUCCUCUCUCUAUAUCUACUGAUCUCCACGAAGCUCCCCUAAACUCCACUCCUGCUAUUCGAAUUCUCGAUCGAAUUCGUUUAGGGUCCGUUUGAAAACUUGGAAUUAAGGAGAAAGGAAUGGAAUGAAAGGGAAAGUAAAAAAUUUUGAUGUUUGGGAGUUUUUUAUUGGAGGAAAAAGAAAAGAAAAGGAGGAAAAAAAUUUAGAUCUCUAAUCCUCUUUUUUCUUUCCUUCAUAAGUGGAAGGAUUUGGAGAGAAAAGAAUUGGAACUUAAGCAUGCCCC